UACCACCAUCCCCACUGCGAGGAAGAUCAAAGCCAAUCGUCCAGACAUCUGUCUCAGAAAUAAGAAGACAAACACUUGUCGUCUUAUUGAUAUCAGCUGUCCUGCUGAUGGCAACAUUGGCAAGAAACAUGCUGAGAAGUUGGCGAAGUACAGCGACUUGCGAGUGGAGAUAAGCCGCAUGUGGCAUUGUCGAACACUAGUGGUUCCGGUGGUCUUGGGAGUUUUGGGCACAGUGCACGCAGACAGCCGUGAUGGUCUAAGUACUUCUGAAGCAGGGUUUGCUUCUGGUACUUGUAAUAGACUUUACCAACCAGACUGAUCUGGUUGAGUACGACAAUAAUAAUAACGUUUUGCUUGUUUUCCUGAUCGGUACAAGAGUAUUGGAUGCAUUACGACCGCGUUACCUGCUGUUUUGGCUAGUGCAGGUUCCUGCAAGAAAAAUUAAGGGUGUGGUCAAGAAAUCACAAGACAUUUGUUUCGUUCAAUAUACGUAUUGUUUUAGGCAAUGGUUACAAGGAGAGUCUAUUUGCUUGCUGUAGAAAGUGCAUACAGAAGCAAACUGUCGUCUGUUCAUCUUUGCGCAUGCCGCAGGGUGUUUACACCUCAAGAUCUUGAAAGAUCCUGGAAGACCACCGCAGCUGCCAAGAUCUUGGUUUGAUUUUGUAGUAUAUGUAGACGGUAGAAGGUAGUUUUAGUUUGUAUUCUUGUACUGACUUAUUUCUAGGUUUUUUGUGAUUUAGCUCACUUGGUUGACACAAGUUGUUCCGCAAUUUCGUGCCACAUAGAACCCAAGAUCUCUGUCAACUUUACUGAAAUUUACUCUUGAGUUAACAGAUGCCAUCAAGAAAUGCUCAAGGUCUAAGAACAGCAAGAUAUUCCAAGUUCUUACCAAGAGUGUAUACAAGCAUUGAUUUAUACUUUUCAACUGUAACAGCUAUGGCCUGUAUAUUCUACCUAUGUGUAGUGAAGACAAAUGUAUGAUGUAUAGACUUACAUGCUGUUGCUCAUGUAGAUAGUCUGGCAUUUUUACUGUUCUAAAAAUUUUAUAGCACGUAUAUAUUGCAGCUAGAUACUACUAGUGAAGUUGUAGCGUUAAAUUAUUAAUAUCAAGUAUCCUACCUUUU